rnacentral:rRNA from 1 species
AAAUUGAAGAGUUUGAUCAUGGCUCAGAUUGAACGCUGGCGGCAGGCCUAACACAUGCAAGUCGAACGGUAGCACAGAGAGCUUGCUCUUGGGUGACGAGUGGCGGACGGGUGAGUAAUGUCUGGGAAACUGCCUGAUGGAGGGGGAUAACUACUGGAAACGGUGGCUAAUACCGCAUAAUGUCGCAAGACCAAAGAGGGGGACCUUCGGGCCUCUUGCCAUCAGAUGUGCCCAGAUGGGAUUAGCUUGUUGGUGAGGUAACGGCUCACCAAGGCGACGAUCCCUAGCUGGUCUGAGAGGAUGACCAGCCACACUGGAACUGAGACACGGUCCAGACUCCUACGGGAGGCAGCAGUGGGGAAUAUUGCACAAUGGGCGCAAGCCUGAUGCAGCCAUGCCGCGUGUAUGAAGAAGGCCUUCGGGUUGUAAAGUACUUUCAGCGGGGAGGAAGGUGUUGCGGUUAAUAACCGCAGCAAUUGACGUUACCCGCAGAAGAAGCACCGGCUAACUCCGUGCCAGCAGCCGCGGUAAUACGGAGGGUGCAAGCGUUAAUCGGAAUUACUGGGCGUAAAGCGCACGCAGGCGGUCUGUCAAGUCGGAUGUGAAAUCCCCGGGCUCAACCUGGGAACUGCAUUCGAAACUGGCAGGCUUGAGUCUUGUAGAGGGGGGU